rnacentral:rRNA from 1 species
AUUGAACGCUGGCGGCAGGCCUAACACAUGCAAGUCGAACGAGUGGCGGACGGGUGAGUAAUGUCUGGGAAACUGCCUGAUGGAGGGGGAUAACUACUGGAAACGGUAGCUAAUACCGCAUACCAUCGGAUGUGCCCAGAUGGGAUUAGCUCGUGGGUGGGGUAACGGCUCACCUAGGCGACGAUCCCUAGCUGGUCUGAGAGGAUGACCAGCCACAAUGGAACUGAGACACGGUCCAGACUCCUACGGGAGGCAGCAGGUGGGAAUAUUGCACAAUGGGCGCAAGCCUUAUGCAGCCAUGCCGCGUGUAUGAAGAAGGCCUUCGGGUUGUAAAGCACUUUCAGCGGGGAGGCUUUACCCGCAGAAGAAGCACCGGCUAACUCCGUGCCAGCCGCCGCGGUAAUUC